AGCGAACGCUGGCGGCAGGCUUAACACAUGCAAGUCGAGCGGAUGUAGCAAUACAUCAGCGGCAGACGGGUGAGUAACACGUGGGAACGUACCUUUUGGUUCGGAACAACACAGGGAAACUUGUGCUAAUACCGGAUAAGCCCUUACGGGGAAAGAUUUAUCGCCGAAAGAUCGGCCCGCGUCUGAUUAGCUAGUUGGUGAGGUAAUGGCUCACCAAGGCGACGAUCAGUAGCUGGUCUGAGAGGAUGAUCAGCCACAUUGGGACUGAGACACGGCCCAAACUCCUACGGGAGGCAGCAGUGGGGAAUAUUGGACAAUGGGCGCAAGCCUGAUCCAGCCAUGCCGCGUGAGUGAUGAAGGCCCUAGGGUUGUAAAGCUCUUUUGUGCGGGAAGAUAAUGACGGUACCGCAA
rnacentral:rRNA from 2 species